CGUCACGUCACCUCACUCGCGAAUUGGCGGGAUAUCACCUGGCCAGGCCCCGGAGUAAUAGGUCUUCUCGGUCUUCUCACGAAACAUAAACUCUGACAGCCUUUCAAUGGUGUCCCCGGUGUUUCUCCUGCUCCCUGCGUGAGGUCAGCACACUUCCUGCCAAUGUGAACUCUGAACCCAUCACCACCUCUCUGCCCUCUACCCUCCAAUCAAUCACUCAGCAGGAGCCACAGCUUGGGCCCUGAUUUUCCCACCAUAUUGAGUGACGGCUGUGGUCUGGAAUUGCUCUACCCCACACCCCUCAUCUCUUGGGGCUCUGGAUGGAGGAAUGUGGCAGGCUUUGGAAGAAGACAAGCCUGCAGCUCAACGCCCUUCUCCCUCCCCACUUUCCCUGUCUGCUCGCCCUUCUCCCAGUCACGCACAGCUAAUCCCAGGCAUCUAUUGAGUAUAUGUAUGGAUGCCGUGCACAGUGUUGAUUGAUUGGGAUCUGUGAUAAGGAGCAGCAUGGACAGCCCAGCAUAGAAGUAAGUGAGGGGGAAUAGGUGGCUGCUGAGUAUAGGCACUCUGACAAGCAAAGAGAGAAGAGAGGAAAGACGAGAGGUUAGAGCCUGGCAGGUGUACAGAGGAUCCUUCGAUACGCUGAUGACACCCCCACCUGGAUCUGACAGAACUGACCAUAUCUGCUGAUACUCCGUGGGAAGCUGGCUGAGGAAGGAAUGUUGAAAGAGGACAUCUGUUUGGACACCAAGGCCACCACACAGCGCUCAGACACCUGGAAGACAAAGUGAUGGAUGGCAGAGGCACCUUUAAUCUUCUCGGGAUUGUCGAUGAUGAAAUUGCCGUUCCAUACGAUGGAGAGGUCUACUGCCAGGUCACUGAUCUUCACACCCUCAUACAUGUACUGAAAAGCAGAAACACCGAGUGAGGGAGCUUGCGGGACGCAAACCCUGGCUGGGGUGGCUGAUCAUCCACAUCUGAAGAAAAUGGCCUUUUCAUUCAUUGUCACGGAGUAGCAAGCAUCCAAGCUAUCUGCCUCAUUUGACAGCUGUGAGACUCCCACUGGGAGUGUUCGAGGUCAUACCGAGCUGUUCUGGCACUGCACGCUGGUGCUAUUGAAGCGCAGUGCCGUGACACGGUGGCUGACACCCUGCACGUGCACCACGCACUCGUAGCCCCGUUGGCCUGACUGCGGCUGGGGCAGGUUUCGGGCCCUGAGGGUGAUGGGUCGGACCUCGCCGGCCGGAAUGAGAAUUUCUCCAGAGUGAAGGAGCUGAGGGCAGUCCUGUGAAAACAACAGACAAAAGCAAAGAUUUGUACCAUUCACAGUAAGAUGCGGAUAUGCAUGGUGUAAAUCCCACCCAGUAUGGCACAUGCCACACCAUUGAAAAGGACCAUUGAGGAAGAGGAGGGAACUGAUGACAAGAGUCCAAAUAAGUAGAAGAAAGAGGAUAAAUCCUAAUGACUUUGAUGAUUCUGACUUUUCAUGAAGUGCCAUUAGCAGGUGAAAGUUUCAGUAAAAUAUCGAAAAAUCUACUGGCACACACAUUUGUACAGAUAUUCACAGCUCCUAGAUGAAUUCUAAUGAAUUUGGUGGUGAUAUCCUGACAUUUCAUAGCAUGCAGACGUUAGCAUUUCGCUCAAAAAGCCUCAUAGAGUUGCCUCAUAGAUUUGCUAGCAUGGCUGUAGGCUAUAUUUUUAAAUCAUGGAUUGUGCUAAGGAACAGAUAGAUGGUGCGCCACUGUAAAAGCUACACUUUAAUCAGCUAAUGAAACUAACACUGCAGUAUAUUUAUGUUAAUGUGAAUGUACAGCACCUCUGAGGCGUUUACUCUUCCCUCCUGGAAUGAACAGCUGCUGGGGUCGUGGGUGCACAGAUUGCGGUAUUUACACCAGUGGCAACGAAAAGUGCUGUUUACACAGGACAGACACCUGCAGGAAGAAAUCAA